AGUGGCAAACGGGUGAGUAACACGUAGACAACCUGCCGAUCAGAUGGGGACAACAUUCCGAAAGGAAUGCUAAUACCGAAUGGCGUAUAGGGGAGGCAUCUCCCCUACAUGAAAGAUGGCCUCUAUAUAUAAGCUAUCACUGAUCGAUGGGUCUGCGUCUGAUUAGCUAGUAGGUAAGGUAACGGCUUACCUAGGCGACGAUCAGUAGCCGGUCUGAGAGGAUGAACGGCCACAUUGGGACUGAGACACGGCCCAGACUCCUACGGGAGGCAGCAGUGGGGAAUCUUCCGCAAUGGGCGCAAGCCUGACGGAGCAACGCCGCGUGAGUGAAGAAGGUCUUCGGAUCGUAAAGCUCUGUUGAAGGGGACGAACGUACAUAGUGCGAAU
rnacentral:rRNA from 1 species